rfam:Myotis davidii contig114496, whole genome shotgun sequence.
GACAGUUCUCGGGUGACGCACCCGGUAAUCAGGCUCCCUCCUCUCUGGUUCUGGGUGUGUCACCCAAGAACCGCA